ensembl:lncRNA uncharacterized LOC114429874
GAGAGAGAGAGAAAGAGGAGCAUCCUUUUACCUUAACUGGAGAAAAAUCUUAAAGUUGUCAGAAACAAAGGGCCGUUUGUACUUACAGAUCACGCCUGCCAUUCCUCACGUCUCCAGUGAGUGUGGGCUUUGGGGAAGAAGAUAUAAAAGAGAGCGAGUACAGCCCUUACAAACAGAGAAGACAUGUCGGCUACUAACAACAAAGAAAAGUUCAGGAAACCCAGGCCUAUAUUAUGGACAGCAACAUCAUUGAUAAUAAUGUACAUGGUCUGGUGUAUUGUGGUGCCCAUAUUGACAACGACAGGACAUCUUUACAGCAUCCAAAGUCCUGAAUGCUUGAACAAUACUGAGUUUGAAUCCAGGAGGCACUAUGAGCAGAAAAUUGUGUGCCUGUGGUCGUCACUGAAUCUGGCACUUUGUAUCAUCUUACUGCUGAAAGUGUGGAUAAAGAGAUUUGUCCAUGUAUGUGUGUUCUUGAUCAUUGUUGGAGUCAUUAUGAUUUGUACUUUUGACACCAUCCAGAAAAAUGAGAUUCAGGGUAUGGAAAAUCUUAAGAAGCACUAUUUGGCCCUGCUAACACACAACAACACAGAAAACAUGCUGAUGGACAAAAACUGUGACAUAUUCACCAACAUGUACCACUGGCAGACUAAGUUUAAGUGUUGUGGACUUGAAAGCUACCAAGACUGGAAUUCUGUGAUUCCAGACUCCUGCUUAUGUGAAGGAGAGGACAACAAGUCUGGAUGUGUUGGAGCUGGAGACACCCUUGUUUAUGAGAAGCCUUGUUUUCCUAUAGUUGUAUCUCUUGCUGAAAAACAAAGAUCCACGUUUCAGAUGAUCGUGACUGUUUGGGUUGUCAUCAUUGGUGUCCCUUUUGCCAUCUUUUUGUUCAUAGGCAUCAUUCUUCUUAUAUGUGUUAUUCUUCGUAUGAACUCAUCACAUUGCCGCUAUGUUCUCAAACGUUGGAAAGACAAAAUCUGCGCAAACAAAAAGGUGCCAGUUGUGUUCAUCAGAAAGAAUAACAAUAACCAAACAGCGGAGGAAAAGGUGGAAGAACAACAUACCAUCAUGUACCCUCAUGAUGCCUGUGUAGACAUAACACAGUGUCCACCUAGUGACAACCCAGUCAUAAUGAUUCCUCUGUCACUGCUGAGGAGACUGCAGGAAGAGCUGGACCCGCCUCCAGUCCAACACAAGGUGCAGAAUGAGAAAUGUCAUUGUAUAUUCCCACCAUCUCCUCGAAUUAGGCCCUUCUACACAGUCUUAGUGGAUGAUGAUUCACCACUUCUACCUGGUAAUGCUGUGGUGGUAGAUGCUCACAAACCUACUCAAGAGUGUUACUGGAGUGAGGGACACCGAGCCUUUGAAGUUAGAGAAAUUGUUUGGCCACAGGUCAAAAUGCAAGACACUACUGAGCCUAAUAACGGUUAAGUGACCCUGAUAAGGUGCAGGCAUCUAUGGUUUCCACAGAAUGAACUGUAAUUUUUACAGUACAAAAUGUUUAUGUAAAUUCUACAGAAGGAGUUGAGGUGUUUCUUCUUCUGCUUUGUGUUUGACAAACUGGUAGACCAGAAAUGUAACUGAGAGAUUCCAGUUCAGAGUUUUGUCAUGUCACAGCAAACAGUGUUAUCGCAAAUUAAAUGAGCUUGUGAUGGGAAACUGCUGUGGUUACAACCUGUUGCCUAGCGAUCAGUGAGACUCAUAUUUAUAUUAGCAGGGCAGGAACCUUCUGUCUGGCUGCAGUUAAUGUAAACAGCAGUAAGUUACAGUAUUUGAGUAUGUCACAUCAUGCUUGGAUUACUGCAGCAGCCUGUUUGCUUGUCCAAAUAGCAAAACUUUAGAAUGUAGCUGUUAAUUUCAGCAUUACAAUACCACAACAAGCAUGCCUGUACAUGGGCUUAUUCAAGUCUUAUUUUAUACUACACAUGCACUCAUGUCUAUGUAUUGCAGCACUGUUGCAAUCACAUGUCAAAAAACCUCUUUCUGGUCUGUACUGUGUUCUGUAGCUGUGUAAUUUGUGAUUUCUUUUAGUGGAUAGACGCUGUUAUGUUACAUUUAGACUCAUGAAUUGAUGUCAACUUUUGCUUUUCAAAUUUAUCAAAUCAUAGUAUGCACAAG